rnacentral:rRNA from 1 species
AUGUUAGCUUGCUAACAGGCGUCGAGUGGCGGACGGGUGAGUAACGCGUAGGAAUCUACCAAAUAGCGGGGGAUAGCCCGGAGAAAUCCGGGAUUAAUACCGCAUAAUCUCUACGGAGUAAAGGGGGCCUCUAUUUAUAAGCUUUCACUAUUUGAUGAGCCUGCGUAAGAUUAGCUUGUUGGUGAGGUAAGAGCUCACCAAGGCGACGACCUUUAGCUGGCCUGAGAUGAUGAUCAGCCACACUGGGACUGAGACACGGCCCAGACUCC